CCCUUAGAUGUUCUGGGCUGCACGCGCGCUACACUGAUGCACUCAACGAGUUUACGACCUUGCCCGAUAGGGUUGGGUAAUCUUUUUAAAAUGCAUCGUGAUGGGGAUGGAUUAUUGCAAUUAUUAAUCUUCAACGAGGAAUUCCUAGUAAGCGCGAGUCAUCAGCUCGUGCUGAUUACGUCCCUGCCCUUUGUACACACCGCCCGUCGCUCCUACCGAUUGAGUGCUCAGGUGAAUAAUUCGGACUGCAGCAAUGUUUGGAUCCCGAACGUUGCAGCGGAAAGUUUAGUGAACCUUAUCACUUAGAGGAAGGAGAAGUCGUAACA
rnacentral:rRNA from 1 species